rnacentral:rRNA from 1 species
GAUGAACGCUGGCGGCGUGCCUAAUACAUGCAAGUCGAGCGAACAGAUGAGGAGCUUGCUCCUUUGACGUUAGCGGCGGACGGGUGAGUAACACGUGGGUAACCUACCUAUAAGACUGGGAUAACUUCGGGAAACCGGAGCUAAUACCGGAUAAUAUUUCGAACCGCAUGGUUCGAUAGUGAAAGAUGGCUUUGCUAUCACUUAUAGAUGGACCUGCGCCGUAUUAGCUAGUUGGUAAGGUAACGGCUUACCAAGGCAACGAUACGUAGCCGACCUGAGAGGGUGAUCGGCCACACUGGAACUGAGACACGGUCCAGACUCCUACGGGAGGCAGCAGUAGGGAAUCUUCCGCAAUGGGCGAAAGCCUGACGGAGCAACGCCGCGUGAGUGAUGAAGGUCUUCGGAUCGUAAAACUCUGUUAUUAGGGAAGAACAAACGUGUAAGUAACUGUGCACGUCUUGACGGUACCUAAUCAGAAAGCCACGGCUAACUACGUGCCAGCAGCCGCGGUAAUACGUAGGUGGCAAGCGUUAUCCGGAAUUAUUGGGCGUAAAGCGCGCGUAGGCGGUUUUUUAAGUCUGAUGUGAAAGCCCACGGCUCAACCGUGGAGGGUCAUUGGAAACUGGAAAACUUGAGUGCAGAAGAGGAAAGUGGAAUUCCAUGUGUAGCGGUGAAAUGCGCAGAGAUAUGGAGGAACACCAGUGGCGAAGGCGACUUUCUGGUCUGUAACUGACGCUGAUGUGCGAAAGCGUGGGGAUCAAACAGGAUUAGAUACCCUGGUAGUCCACGCCGUAAACGAUGAGUGCUAAGUGUUAGGGGGUUUCCGCCCCUUAGUGCUGCAGCUAACGCAUUAAGCACUCCGCCUGGGGAGUACGACCGCAAGGUUGAAACUCAAAGGAAUUGACGGGGACCCGCACAAGCGGUGGAGCAUGUGGUUUAAUUCGAAGCGACGCGAAGAACCUUACCAAAUCUUGACAUCCUUUGACCCUUCUAGAGAUAGAAGUUUCCCCUUCGGGGGACAAAGUGACAGGUGGUGCAUGGUUGUCGUCAGCUCGUGUCGUGAGAUGUUGGGUUAAGUCCCGCAACGAGCGCAACCCUUAAGCUUAGUUGCCAUCAUUAAGUUGGGCACUCUAAGUUGACUGCUGGUGACAAACCGGAGGAAGGUGGGGAUGACGUCAAAUCAUCAUGCCCCUUAUGAUUUGGGCUACACACGUGCUACAAUGGACAAUACAAAGGGCAGCGAAACCGUGAGGUCAAGCAAAUCCCAUAAAGUUGUUCUCAGUUCGGAUUGUAGUCUGCAACUCGACUACAUGAAGCUGGAAUCGCUAGUAAUCGUAGAUCAGCAUGCUACGGUGAAUACGUUCCCGGGUCU